rnacentral:rRNA from 1 species
UACGUAGGGUGCGAGCGUUGUCCGGAAUUAUUGGGCGUAAAGAGCUUGUAGGCGGUUUGUCGCGUCUGCCGUGAAAAUUCGAGGCUCAACCUCGAACUUGCGGUGGGUACGGGCAGACUAGAGUGUGGUAGGGGAGACUGGAAUUCCUGGUGUAGCGGUGAAAUGCGCAGAUAUCAGGAGGAACACCGAUGGCGAAGGCAGGUCUCUGGGCCGUUACUGACGCUGAGGAGCGAAAGCGUGGGGAGCGAACAGG